AUUGAACGCUGGCGGAAGGCUUAACACAUGCAAGUCGAGCGAGCGGCGGACGGGUGUGUAAUGUCUGGGAAACUGCCUGAUGGAGGGGGAUAACUACUGGAAACGGUAGCUAAUACCGCAUACCAUCAGAUGUGCCCAGAUGGGCUUAGCUUGUAGGUGGGGUAAUGGUUCACCUCGGCGACGAUCCCUAGCUGGUCUGAGAGGAUGACCAGACACACUAGAACUGAGACACGGUCCAGACUCCUACGGGAUGCAUGAGUGGGGAAUAUUGAACAAUGGGCGCAGGCCUGAUGCAGCCAUGCCGCGUGUGGGAAGAAGGCCUUCGGGUUGUAAAGCACUUUCAGCGAGGAGGCGUUACUCGCAGAAGAAGCACCGGCUAACUCCGUGCCAGCAGCCGCGGUAAUAC
rnacentral:rRNA from 1 species